AGCUAAAGUGUUUUCACAAAGUGACAACAAUGAGUCAUCUCAGUGUUUUUGCAUAACAAUCGAUAGAAUGGAUUUAGGUUAAGAUCUCUGUGCUAUAGGAUUCGGAACAAUACAAAAUUAAAACUGGAAAUAUAGCAUUACAACGGGCUGUUAUUUUCGUCUCACGCAAGUACAUGCAACCAUGGAUCAAAGCAACACACACAAUAAACUGCCUUAAGUUUACGGUAGCUUUUCUACAUAUUAGUGUUAGUGUACGGACAUGCUAGUGUAGUGCAAGUGCAGAAUGUCGGACGACGAGGACUCUUCACCGGACUGGGCGCUGGUGCCCUCUAACAAUGUGCCAAUCCUGGGCAUCAAGCGUCUCAAGCAGAUCGAGACGUUGUUCCUCGCGCGGCGCCUCCAAGGGCACGCCGGGCUCAGCGUGGAGACGCUCCUCGACGUGUUGUUGGUGUUGUACGACGAGUGCUGUGGCAGCAGUUUGAGGAGGGAGAAGGCUGUUGCUGACUUCAUACAACACGUGAAGCCAGUGGCGACAGCCCUCAAACGGCUGCGGUUGUCGCGCGAUGACUUCGAGCUGGUUAAAGUGAUCGGCCGAGGCGCCUUCGGAGAGGUGUGCGUCGUCAGGGCGUCUUUUAUGCAGGGCACAGAUGCAGGCGCGAACACGGUGCCCGGUGGUACCGUUUCGACUACGACGGGCGAACGGGUGUACGCCAUGAAGAUACUCAACAAAUGGGAGAUGCUCAAGCGCGCGGAGACAGCAUGUUUUCAAGAGGAGCGAGAUGUGUUAGUGUAUGGAGACCGGCGGUGGAUCACCAACCUUCAUUACGCCUUUCAGGACGAACACAAUUUGUACCUGGUGAUGGACUACUACUGCGGAGGCGAUCUCCUGACCCUUCUAUCGAAGUUUGAGGACCGUCUACCCGAAGAUAUGGCCCGUUUCUACAUCGCUGAGAUGGUCCUCGCUGUACAGAGCGUCCAUGAACUACGAUAUGUGCACAGAGACAUCAAGCCAGAUAAUGUUUUGCUGGAUGCGAGCGGACACAUCAGACUCGCUGAUUUCGGCUCGUGCCUUCGACUGGGAGACGACGGGAAGGUACAAAGCAACGUUGCUGUUGGAACGCCUGAUUACAUAUCACCCGAGAUUCUUAGGGCGAUGGAAGACGGACAAGGAAGAUACGGCCCUGAAUGCGAUUGGUGGUCUUUAGGCGUGUGCAUGUACGAGAUGCUAUUCGGAGAGACGCCAUUCUACGCAGAGUCUCUUGUGGAAACAUACGGCAAGAUUAUGAACCACGCUCGUUCUUUCAGCUGUCCGCCGCCUCUAGAACAUGCUAAACAGGUGUCAGACGAGGCUACGGACUUGAUUAGGAAACUAAUAUGCGCUGCUGACCAAAGGCUGGGAAAGAAUGGCUUGCAAGAUUUCAAGAGCCACGGUUGGUUCGCUGGCUUAGAGUGGGAGGCGCUUCGAGAAGUGCAAGCACCCUUCGUUCCGGAUGUAGCAAGUCCCACUGACACUUCUAACUUCGAUGUUGAUGACACCGAUAUCAGAUUGUCAGAAGCAGUGCCACCGCCGUCAGCGUCAUCAGCGUUCUCGGGGCUACACCUGCCGUUCGUGGGGUUCACGUUCACGGCCGGCAGCCGCCUGUCCGACCUGGGCGCUCCGGCUACACCGCUCAGCCCCGCCAAGAAUGCUCCCAGCCAGGCUCCAUCAAACGCUGGCGACAGAGCAGCCCUAAAAGCCCUGGAGCGAGAAAACGCGCUUCUAGCACAAACCAUCGCCGAGUUAAGAUCUGGAGGCCAACCUUUGGACGCUGGGAGUGAAGAAUCGAUCACGUUGAAAGAGGAGCUCGCUGCACUAUCGAAAAGGAACGCAGAGUUAGAAGCGCAAGUACGGUGUUACGAGCAGCUCAGCGGUGGAGUAGCUCAGGAUCCAUCGGCGCCUCAAGAUCUAGUAACGAGAGUUCGAGAGCUGGAGGUGAUGGUCACAACCCUCAAUCUUGAGAAGGAGGAACUCGUCAAGGACAAAGUAGAUUCUUCUGAAAAGCUCAGGUUGCAGGACAAAGAACUGAAGGACGCCGUGGCGCAGCGGAAACUAGCUAUGACGGAGUACAACGAAGUGACGGACCGGCUGUCGGAGUUGCGGCAACAGAAACAAAAGUUAUCGAGACAGGUUCGCGAUAAAGAAGAGGAGCUAGAAGUGGCUAUGCAGAAGAUAGAUGCACUAAGACAGGAUAUUCGUCGCUCGGAUAAAGGUCGGCGAGAAUUAGAAGCGAGGCUCGACACUGCUAUUUCAGAGGCUACUAAAGAGCGCAAGCUGCGGGAAGAGACGCUCCGCUCCGUCCGAGCGGAGGCGGGCGCGGGAGCGGUGGCGGUGGCGGGCGGCGCGGCGGCCGACGUGGCGCGCCUGCAGGCCGAGGUGGACGCGCUCGAGUUGCAGUACAAAGAAUCGCUCGCGCAACAACAACAGCGGUACAACGCAGACCUCGCGUCGCUCAGAGAACAACUACACGAAGGAGAUGCGGUCAGGAGCGUGCUCAAUAGAGAGUUACAGACAUCGAAAGAUAAGCUGGAGAGCCGGCGGUUAGAACAGAUGAACGACAGUGAAGACAGACAGAUGCUUAUCAACGAGAACAGGAAACUCGCCAAGGACCUAGAUGCGAUGGCCGAAAACGGUCGCCGGUGGCAGGCGGAGCGAAGGCAGUUAGAAAUGGAGUUAGAGGAGCUCAGAGCUAAACGAGACACCAUGCAACACUGGGAAACUCAGAUAGCGGACAUCAUCCGAUGGGUGGCGGACGAGAAGGAGGCUCGAGGAUACUUGCAAGCGCUGGCUACUAAGAUGACCGAGGAACUGGAGUACCUCAAGAUUGCUUCGGCCACUCGCGGCACUAUCGCCGCCCCCGCGUCUCCACCGGCCGCCCCGGGCGCGCCCGGCGGCUGGCGGAACCGGCGCUCGCAGAAACUGGACAAGAUGGAGAUCCUCACGCUGCAGUCCAGCCUGCACUCCGAGAUACAGGCCAAGCAGCAAGUCGGCGAGGAGCUCAGCAGGACCCGGGCCGAGCUGCUGCACAGCCAGAGGUCAGUUAUACAACCGGCGCUCGCAGAAACUGGACAAGAUGGAGAUCCUCACGCUGCAGUCCAGCCUGCACUCCGAGAUACAGGCCAAGCAGCAAGUCGGCGAGGAGCUCAGCAGGACCCGGGCCGAGCUGCUGCACAGCCAGAGGUCAGUUAUACAACCGGCGCUCGCAGAAACUGGACAAGAUGGAGAUCCUCACGCUGCAGUCCAGCCUGCACUCCGAGAUACAGGCCAAGCAGCAAGUCGGCGAGGAGCUCAGCAGGACCCGGGCCGAGCUGCUGCACAGCCAGAGGUCAGUUAUACAACCGGCGCUCGCAGAAACUGGACAAGAUGGAGAUCCUCACGCUGCAGUCCAGCCUGCACUCCGAGAUACAGGCCAAGCAGCAAGUCGGCGAGGAGCUCAGCAGGACCCGGGCCGAGCUGCUGCACAGCCAGAGGUCAGUUAUACAACCGGCGCUCGCAGAAACUGGACAAGAUGGAGAUCCUCACGCUGCAGUCCAGCCUGCACUCCGAGAUACAGGCCAAGCAGCAAGUCGGCGAGGAGCUCAGCAGGACCCGGGCCGAGCUGCUGCACAGCCAGAGGUCAGUUAUACAACCGGCGCUCGCAGAAACUGGACAAGAUGGAGAUCCUCACGCUGCAGUCCAGCCUGCACUCCGAGAUACAGGCCAAGCAGCAAGUCGGCGAGGAGCUCAGCAGGACCCGGGCCGAGCUGCUGCACAGCCAGAGGUCAGUUAUACAACCGGCGCUCGCAGAAACUGGACAAGAUGGAGAUCCUCACGCUGCAGUCCAGCCUGCACUCCGAGAUACAGGCCAAGCAGCAAGUCGGCGAGGAGCUCAGCAGGACCCGGGCCGAGCUGCUGCACAGCCAGAGGUCAGUUAUACAACCGGCGCUCGCAGAAACUGGACAAGAUGGAGAUCCUCACGCUGCAGUCCAGCCUGCACUCCGAGAUACAGGCCAAGCAGCAAGUCGGCGAGGAGCUCAGCAGGACCCGGGCCGAGCUGCUGCACAGCCAGAGGUCAGUUAUACAACCGGCGCUCGCAGAAACUGGACAAGAUGGAGAUCCUCACGCUGCAGUCCAGCCUGCACUCCGAGAUACAGGCCAAGCAGCAAGUCGGCGAGGAGCUCAGCAGGACCCGGGCCGAGCUGCUGCACAGCCAGAGGUCAGUUAUACAACCGGCGCUCGCAGAAACUGGACAAGAUGGAGAUCCUCACGCUGCAGUCCAGCCUGCACUCCGAGAUACAGGCCAAGCAGCAAGUCGGCGAGGAGCUCAGCAGGACCCGGGCCGAGCUGCUGCACAGCCAGAGGUCAGUUAUACAACCGGCGCUCGCAGAAACUGGACAAGAUGGAGAUCCUCACGCUGCAGUCCAGCCUGCACUCCGAGAUACAGGCCAAGCAGCAAGUCGGCGAGGAGCUCAGCAGGACCCGGGCCGAGCUGCUGCACAGCCAGAGGUCAGUUAUACAACCGGCGCUCGCAGAAACUGGACAAGAUGGAGAUCCUCACGCUGCAGUCCAGCCUGCACUCCGAGAUACAGGCCAAGCAGCAAGUCGGCGAGGAGCUCAGCAGGACCCGGGCCGAGCUGCUGCACAGCCAGAGGUCAGUUAUACAACCGGCGCUCGCAGAAACUGGACAAGAUGGAGAUCCUCACGCUGCAGUCCAGCCUGCACUCCGAGAUACAGGCCAAGCAGCAAGUCGGCGAGGAGCUCAGCAGGACCCGGGCCGAGCUGCUGCACAGCCAGAGGUCAGUUAUACAACCGGCGCUCGCAGAAACUGGACAAGAUGGAGAUCCUCACGCUGCAGUCCAGCCUGCACUCCGAGAUACAGGCCAAGCAGCAAGUCGGCGAGGAGCUCAGCAGGACCCGGGCCGAGCUGCUGCACAGCCAGAGGUCAGUUAUACAACCGGCGCUCGCAGAAACUGGACAAGAUGGAGAUCCUCACGCUGCAGUCCAGCCUGCACUCCGAGAUACAGGCCAAGCAGCAAGUCGGCGAGGAGCUCAGCAGGACCCGGGCCGAGCUGCUGCACAGCCAGAGGUCAGUUAUACAACCGGCGCUCGCAGAAACUGGACAAGAUGGAGAUCCUCACGCUGCAGUCCAGCCUGCACUCCGAGAUACAGGCCAAGCAGCAAGUCGGCGAGGAGCUCAGCAGGACCCGGGCCGAGCUGCUGCACAGCCAGAGGUCAGUUAUACAACCGGCGCUCGCAGAAACUGGACAAGAUGGAGAUCCUCACGCUGCAGUCCAGCCUGCACUCCGAGAUACAGGCCAAGCAGCAAGUCGGCGAGGAGCUCAGCAGGACCCGGGCCGAGCUGCUGCACAGCCAGAGGUCAGUUAUACAACCGGCGCUCGCAGAAACUGGACAAGAUGGAGAUCCUCACGCUGCAGUCCAGCCUGCACUCCGAGAUACAGGCCAAGCAGCAAGUCGGCGAGGAGCUCAGCAGGACCCGGGCCGAGCUGCUGCACAGCCAGAGGUCAGUUAUACAACCGGCGCUCGCAGAAACUGGACAAGAUGGAGAUCCUCACGCUGCAGUCCAGCCUGCACUCCGAGAUACAGGCCAAGCAGCAAGUCGGCGAGGAGCUCAGCAGGACCCGGGCCGAGCUGCUGCACAGCCAGAGGUCAGUUAUACAACCGGCGCUCGCAGAAACUGGACAAGAUGGAGAUCCUCACGCUGCAGUCCAGCCUGCACUCCGAGAUACAGGCCAAGCAGCAAGUCGGCGAGGAGCUCAGCAGGACCCGGGCCGAGCUGCUGCACAGCCAGAGGGAGCUUCUAGAAACCCGCCAGCGGCUAGACGCGCUCGCGCAUGACAUGAAGCGGAAAGAGCAACACAUUCGCGAGAUGCAGACGCGGCUCGACGCGCCGCACCAGCCCAACAAUUCCUUCCAACGUCGACAACGGCGAAAAAAACGAAAAUAAUCUAUGGUUCUAUAUUAUCUAUGGACUCUAUAAAUGUGAACUGUGAUUCGUAAUUCCAAAACGUUGUUAUUGUUAUUCGAUCGAAAUUUACACUUGUUUUUCGCGCAUUUUUUGUGUAACUUAUUGUAUUAUCUGUUGCAUUUACUUUUUAACCGGUGGUAUUCCAUUGUAUGGGUUUGAAUGGGUCCUGCGUUGUAUGUAUGACAGUUCGAACGUGGUUCAGGCCGUACAUACCCCUGUUUUUGGGGGUGACGUCAUGCUUAUGGGGGGUGGCGAUACUCGUGUAUCACCAGUUGUACGAUUGACGUAUAUAAAUAGUACAGUUGUAGCCUUAUUUUGAUUAGAAAACUUGAUAGGGGUUAAUAAAAAAACGUUGCUUUAUAGUUGUAUGUACCGAAAUGAGCGAAAUUAGAACAUUUGAUCAAUUGAUAAUUUUGAUGUCUUCUUAUCAGUGUAAAUGUGCUAAAAAGGAGGUUAUCGGUAUGAAUUCCCUAAAGAAGGCAUCUUCUGGGCGAGCUGACUCCAUCGUAGGCCUUGUCUUUGCCUUUGGCUAGUCUGUGGCCAAGAAUAAGCCCAUUUAUAAUAAUAAAAAAAAAGAGACCUGAGAGAUUCUUAUUAAAGAUUCAUAAAAGUUCUUUAAAGUCAUUAAUUGGUCAUCAAAUUGGCGAUGACUCCUUUUCUAAAUAAAAAAUUUAGAAUCGGAAAAUAUUUGGGUGUGAUAUGAAAAAAUAUAUUCAAGCCCUAUUUGUGGUUGGCAAUGUUACAAUGGCCAUAUGAUUGACAUUUAUGAUUUUUAUAAAAAGAAAAGUAUUUUAUUAAGUACCAGAAAAAAAUAAAACAUGUUAUAUUCUUAAAAUGAUGCUACAACUGUACAAAAAUGGCAUGCUUUUUAUUAUUUAACGCCACUUAAUAUCAAUUUAUGGACAUAUAUUUUAAAUUAUUUGGAUAUUAGUGCUCAAAAUUUAUAUUUUAUAGGAAUCUCGCUAAGGGAGUAAUUUCUAGUCUAUUUUUGUCUAGUCCCGUCCUAUGCCAAAGAAAUUAGCUCUCGAACACUCGAACUAGUCAUUUUUAACGUUAUUAACUAUUAUAAUGUGGGUUGAAGCAUUAUUUUAGGUUAUUUUUAUUAUUUAAGUAUUCUUUUUUACCACAAUUUCGUUUUUGUUUCGUUUUCUUUCUCCUUCUUUGCUAAGAGACACUGAAACUUGAACAGUUUCCUGUGCUCUGCCUACCCUUUUUGGGAAUGCAGACGUCAGUUUAUGUGUAUUCAUUUACGAAAGUGUUGUUUCAUGUUUUACAAAUCUAACCUCUGUGUUUUGUAAGUUGUUUUACCUAAACAAAAAUCUGAUUUAUUUAGUUUCUUUAGAAUCUUGAUCAAAUAAUACUUUUAGAUUGUUCAAAAUAAAGGAAUAUUUUACAGAAACCCUUUAAACUUCUUUUGGUUGAAGCCGUCUAAAAUAAUGCUUCUCUCCACAAUAAUUGACAUGACAACGCAGGAUUUAUUUAUUAUUUAGUUUAAGUUUAUCUAGAUUUUAGAAUCUCAUUUAUUUCCAUGUUUAAGGCUUCUCAAUCUACGGUGUUAAAUGCAUUUAAAAUGAAGGUGACUGGAUACAGGGUGUAGCAAAAAUAGUGUGGAUCCUAUUAAGGGUCGACUUAUUCGGUAUUGUACAGAUCGUUUAGCUGUCACGUAUGGAAUAAUCAAACUGUAUAAAUGAUACCUGUGUCGAUAUAGGCAUUGGUCCCGUCAAAAGUGCGAUGAGUUAUUUUCGAUAGAAACGAAUCAAAGAUAGUUGCUCCCGUCUAAACAAAAGAGACGCGAUAGCGCGAGUGAGUUAUUAGUUCAACGACGAGCGAUAAACUAUAAAUCGCUAUAAACUUUAGCGUGAAAAAUAUUUUUUCCGCUGUUUCCUAACAAGUAAUAUGAUACCGAGUAUGCCCUUAAAAAUAUCCCUAUUUUUAUGACACCCUGUUUAAGAAUAGUCUUGAACUUUGUUUAUUUAUUGUAUAAACUUUGCGUUUUGUUUCACCUUUUUUUGCAUUUAUGUUUUAAUUUUGCAUUACUUUUUCUUUUACGCUGUACUUUUUUUUCUUAUUACCGGUGUACAGUACUGUUCUUGUACAUAAUUAAAGUCCUGUUUUUAUA